rnacentral:snoRNA from 1 species
GUGUACAAUUCACUGUCCUUUUUCAGUAUGUCAAGAGAAAAGAUAUUUCUGAUGUGCUCAACAAGCCUUUGGAGGUAAAUUAGCAGCAUGACUAAUUUAGCCAAUGCUGUCAGUUAUUUUCAACAAGU